rnacentral:rRNA from 1 species
UACGGGGGGGGCAAGCGUUGUUCGGAAUUACUGGGGGUAAAGGGCUCGUAGGUGGCCCCAUAAGUCAGACGUGAAAUCCCUCGGCUCAACCGAGGAACUGCGUCUGAGACUGCGGGGCUUGAAUCCGGGAGAGGGAUGCGGAAUUCCAGGUGUAGCGGUGAAAUGCGUAGAUAUCUGGAGGAACACCGGUGGCGAAGGCGGCAUCCUGGACCGGUAUUGACACUGAGGAGCGAAAGCCAGGGGAGCAAACGGG